rnacentral:rRNA from 1 species
UGGGGAAUAUUGGACAAUGGGCGCAAGCCUGAUCCAGCCAUGCCGCGUGAGUGACGAAGGUCUUCGGAUUGUAAAGCUCUUUUUGGCGGGGACGAUAAUGACGGUACCCGCAGAAUAAGCCCCGGCUAACUUCGUGCCAGCAGCCGCGGUAAUACGAAGGGGGCUAGCGUUGUUCGGAAUUACUGGGCGUAAAGCGCACGUAGGCGGACUGAUAAGUCAGGGGUGAAAUCCCGGGGCUCAACCUCGGAACUGCCUUUGAUACUGUUAGUCUCGAGUCCGGAAGAGGUGAGUGGAAUUCCUAGUGUAGAGGUGAAAUUCGUAGAUAUUAGGAAGAACACCGGUGGCGAAGGCGGCCCACUGGCUCGAUACUGACGCUGAGGUGCGAAAGCGUGGGGAGCAAACAGGAUUAGAUACCCACGUAGUCCCUGAGCGGGCUGGCAAGGCGCAU